rnacentral:lncRNA from 1 species
CCGCCGAGGGUUGUUUCCGCUCCACUCAGAUCUUUACUGACCUGUAGCUGAACCUCACCAGGGUGACUAAGUUAGAGAAAGAGUGGUGGAAAGAGAGACGAGACGGAAACAACAGCAACACGACCACGGUCUGAGGAAGAGUAAACAGACGAUGGGUUGAAGUAUUUAUCCAUCGUGUGUGUGUGUGUGUGUGUGUGUGUGUGUGUGUGUGUGUGUGUGUGUGUGUGUGUGUUGUGUGUGUGUGUGUGCAUGGAUUUCUGCAUGUGUGUGUUUGUCUGUGUGUGAUGGGUGAUAUGCAUGUCUUUGACUGUGUGUGUUUGUGACUGUAUGUGUUUUUGGGCAUGAGUGCAUGCAUGCUUUGUGUGUGUGUGUGUGUGUGCGUAUGUGUAAAGAUAUAUGAGCAAUGAUGAAAAGAUAAGGUUGUGAAUCAUGUGGCUUCUGAUGCGUAGUUGUGUGUGUGUGUGUGUGUGUGUGUGUGUGUGUGUGUGUGUGUGUGUGUGUGUGUGUAUGUGCGUGUGUGUGUGUGUGAGUAUGACUUCUGCAGCCUGACUGUUUGAUGGCUUACUGUAACACCCCCCAUAAUGUCUGUACUUGGUUUCCUCAAGUUGACUUCUGCUUCCCUAUACUCUUAUUCACUGGGUGUGGUGUGUGCGUGUGUGUUCUUGCGUGAUUGAGAACAUAUAUGCUUUGAGUGUCGUUUGCUUUGUAGACAUAUUUUUAAAUGAGUGCCAACAAGGUGUGUGUGCCUGUUGCGUGCCUGCCGUUUUCCAGUUCCUGUUUCUAUUCAAUGUUUUAUGUUUGGGCAUGUGUACAUGUGCGUGUGUGUGUGUGAGAGGUGAGGUGAGCUGGUGUGAGAAGAGAAGAAGGUGACAGAGCUGAUUGAAGAUAGCUUCACCACUGGUUUCUCACUUCUGCAUGGGGCCAUCCUCAGCGAUGGGAAAGUGCCUUUGAACAGAUGUGGGCGCCCAGGUUCCGCAGCAGAAGUGAUGGCUCCAUAAUUGAUUGGCGGUUUCCACCUCGGCGAGGAUGCUGUGGUCUUGGGGUGAGCUCCCUGAACACAAUUCUAAUACCCCCCCAAACACACACACACACACACACACACAUAAACACACACACAUCUCUGCAUUCCUGUCUUCCUUGUAAAAGGGCCUAAGGCGGAUGCCUAAAGGGCG